rnacentral:rRNA from 1 species
GAGUUUGAUCAUGGCUCAGAACGAACGCUGGCGGCGCGUCUUAAGCAUGCAAGUCGAACGGUAAGGGAGAGCUUGCUCUCCCCUAGAGUGGCGGACUGGUGAGUAACGCGUAGGUGACCUACCCUGAAGAUGGGGAUAGCUAGUAGAAAUAUUAGAUAAUACCGAAUAAGCUCAUUUGCAUAAAGGCAGAUGAGGAAAGGAGCUACGGCUCCGCUUUAGGAUGGGCCUGCGUCCCAUUAGCUAAGUUGGUGAGGUAAAGGCUUACCAAGGCAACGAUGGGUAUCCGGCCUGAGAGGGUGAACGGACACAUUGGGACUGAGAUACGGCCCAAACUCCUACGGGAGGCAGCAGCUAAGAAUCUUCCGCAAUGGACGAAAGUCUGACGGAGCGACGCCGUGUGAAUGAAGAAGGCUGAAAAGUUGUAAAAUUCUUUUGCAGAUGAAGAAUAAGGAUAGGAGGGAAUGCCUAUCUGA